rnacentral:rRNA from 1 species
AUGUUGAAUGUUUGUACGUCCAAUUGUAGUCUUGAUGAUGAAGCUUUCAUGCACGCGACAAAUGUGGCAAAUGAUGAUUAUGUGUCACACAAGUAUGUGUCACAAGAAUAUGAAACUCAAUAUUGUGAUGACAAUCUUGACAUGGACGAUGAGGGCUUUGUUGCUAAGGGAAGAAGCGGAAAUUAUACGAAUGUGGAGGAUGUGUUGAUAUGCACCGCAUGGAAGAAAGUCUCAAGAUGCAUCCGUUGGAAGCGACCAAACGAUAACGAGACUUCACCACUUCGCAACAUCGACAAAGAAGUCGGUGAUGAUGAUGAUUGUACCAUGAUUCACAACGACGGUGGUGUUGAUGACCCGUAUGAAUGA